rnacentral:rRNA from 1 species
UUUUUUAAGAGUUUGAUCCUAGCUCAGGAUAAACGCUAGCGGUUAGCUUUACACAUGCAAGUCGAGGGGUAAUAUUAAUUAUAAUUUCAAUUAUAAUUAAUAACGACCGGCGUACGGGUGAGUAAUAUAUAUGUAAUUUACAUUUUGUUGGAGAAUAGCCUAAAGAAAUUUAGAUUAAUACUCCAUAAUGCAAUUUAUUGUUAGAAUAUUUUGUAAAAGUUUUUUAUUUUAAAAAAAAUGACAAUUUAUAAGCAUAUAUCUGAUUAGCUAGUUGGUAAGAUAAUAGCUUACCAAGGCGAUGAUCAGUAGGGGGCCUGAGAGGGUGUACCCCCACAUUGGUACUGAAAUACGGACCUAACUUCUACGGAAGGCAGCAGUGAGGAAUAUUGGUCAAUGGAGGCAACUCUGAACCAGCUAUAUCGCGUGUAGGAAUAAGGCCUUAGGGUUGUAAACUACUUUUGUAUAAGAAUAAAAAAUUUAUUUAAAAAAUAAAUAUAUUGAAUGUAUUAUACGAAUAAGCAUCGGCUAACUCUGUGCCAGCAGCCGCGGUAAUACAGAGGAUGCAAGCGUUAUCCGGAUUUAUUGGGUUUAAAGAGUGCGUAGGUGGAUUAUUAAGUCAAUAAUUAAAUCUUAUAACUUAAUUAUAAAACUGUUAUUGAUACUAUUAAUCUAGAGUUAAGAUGGAGUAAUUGGAAUAUAUGGUGUAGCGGUAAAAUGCUUAGAUAUCAUAUAGAACACCGAAAGCGAAGGCAGAUUACUAAUCUUAUAUUGACACUGAGGCACGAAAGCGUGGGGAGCAAACAGGAUUAGAUACCCUGGUAGUCCACGCUGUAAACGAUGAUCACUAAUUAUUGGAUUUUUUUUAUAAAUUCAGUUAUUAAGCGAAAG